rnacentral:lncRNA from 1 species
UCUUACUAGGAUUUCUGUCUCCUUGUACACAAUUUGCCUGUUUAUAGGCCUUCUUUCAAAAAUCAAUACAACCCUCUUUCAAAAAAGAUGCUUUGUUUUUUACUUUCUGUUUUGUUUGCGUAAACGCCCAUUGAUUUAAUUUGAAUUAAUAUAUGCAUUUGAAUAUGACCAAUGUUUACCAAAAUACAUGCAUAGAAUAGCAAUAGCAAUUACUACAAGACUUC